UCUGGCGAAAGCCCGAGUUGUAAUUUGUAGAGGAUGCUUUUGGCAGAGCCGCGGGUUCAAGUGCCCUGGAAUGGGUUGCCAUCAUAGAGGGUGAGAGUCCCGUAUGUCGGCCCGCGGUAGUAGACGCCAGUCAAAGCUCCUUCGACGAGUCGAGUUGUUUGGGAGUGCAGCUCUAAUUGGGAGGUAAAUUCCUUCUAAAGCUAAAUAUGGGCCAGAGACCGAUAGCGAACAAGUAGAGUGAUCGAAAGAUGAAAAGUACAGUGAAAACUGGGUGAAAUAGUACGUGAAAUUGUUGAAAGGGAAGCGCUUGCAAUCAGACAUUGCAGCAACGGGCUGAACCUUGUGUUCAUAAGUUGCUUGUGGGCUAGCAUCAGUUUGGGUGGUGGUAGAAAGGCGAGGGGAAUGUGGCUCGGGUGGGCUUGCGCCCAGAUCGAGUGUUUAUAGCUCCUCGCGCCAUGCCACCUACCUAGACUGAGGGUUUGCGCGGGGUUUCCCCGCAAGGAUGCUGGCGUAAUGGUUGUAAGCGGCCCGUCUUGAAACACGGACCAAGGAGUCUAACAUCUGCGCGAGUGUUUAGGUGUCAAGCCUAUGCGCGUAAUGAAAGUAAACGUAGGUGGGAAACCAUCGGUCCUCACGGACUGGGGUGGCACCAUCGACCGAUCCGGAUGUUUUCGGAAGGAUUUGAGUAAGAGCGCAGCUGUUGGGACCCGAAAGAUGGUGAACU
rnacentral:rRNA from 1 species